GUGGGGAAUAUUGGACAAUGGGCGAAAGCCUGAUCCAGCCAUGCCGCGUGUGUGAAGAAGGUCUUCGGAUUGUAAAGCACUUUAAGUUGGGAGGAAGGGCAGUAAGUUAAUACCUUGCUGUUUUGACGUUACCGACAGAAUAAGCACCGGCUAACUUCGUGCCAGCAGCCGCGGUAAUACGAAGGGUGCAAGCGUUAAUCGGAAUUACUGGGCGUAAAGCGCGCGUAGGUGGUUUUGUAAGUUGGAGGUGAAAUCCCCGGGCUCAACCUGGGAACUGCCUCCAAAACUGCAUGACUAAAGUACGGUAGAGGGUAGUGGAAUUUCCUGUGUAGCGGUGAAAUGCGUAGAUAUAGGAAGGAACACCAGUGGCGAAGGCGACCACCUGGACUGAUACUGACACUGAGGUGCGAAAGCGUGGGGAGCAAACAGGAUUAGAUACCCGAGUAGUCC
rnacentral:rRNA from 1 species